rnacentral:rRNA from 1 species
UACGAAGGGGGCUAGCGUUGCUCGGAAUGACUGGGCGUAAAGGGCGCGUAGGCGGAUUGCACAGUCAGAUGUGAAAUUCCUGGGCUUAACCUGGGGGCUGCAUUUGAUACGUGUGAUCUAGAGUGAGGAAGAGGGUCGUGGAAUUCCCAGUGUAGAGGUGAAAUUCGUAGAUAUCAGGAGGAACACCGGUGGCGAAGGCGACUUCCUGGACACCAACUGACGCUGAGACGCGAAAGCGUGGGGAGCAAACAGG